AUUUUUACAUUUUCCUCCCUUUUUAAUGGAAUAUUUCAAACAUUUACAAAUAAGUUUGUACCCAACACCCAGAUUUUACAAAGGUUAAAUUUUCAAUUGUUUCAGAAACUUGGAAAGAGAUGAAAAACGGCGGACACAGAAAAAGCCCCUUUCACACCUACUCUCCUUCUGCCAGCCUCCCUACCUUUCUAGAGAUAACCAAUAUAUUAAUAGACUGUGCAUCCUUCCUGGAUCGUUUCUUUCAAACUUUGAGUCGGAGAGGAGACAAGAUGAAGAAAGAAGAGACAGGAGAAGGAGUACUUUUAAGUAGAACACUUCCAAAUUGCCAAAUUGCAGGUCCUUCCAGUUGUGGCAUAUGGGAUGCCGGCUCAACGUGGCCUGAUAAGCAGUGCCAUGUCCGCGCCCAGGAUCCGAACCCUAGGCCACCGAUCGAAGCCAUUCGGCCACAGGACUGGCCCCAUCCUCUUCUUCUUUCAAAGAAUAGCACUUCCACUGAGUGACUGAUAAUGGAUGUGCAACUGGCUUGGAGUAAAGCUGAUUAAUUUAUGCUUCCCUUAUGAUGUUUGUGUAUCAUCCAAAAAAACCCACUAAGUUUUAUAAGUCCCAAAAAAUAAAGUCUUCCAAGGAUGAUCAAAGUAUUUUUUAUAAAAAUUUUGUUAUGUAUUCUCCUAAAGAGAUUACAGGUGGAUAUUAAUAAUACAUUUACCUUGGUUUCACUAUGAUGUUCUCUGAAGAGGCAUUCUAAAUGCUCUUCAUGGAGGGACUAAUAAACAACAAGUACAGAAAUGGACAUGUUUUUCUAGAGAUGUGCCAUUAAUGGCAAUGGAGUCAGUCAUUGACUACUCACCAUAUUCCAGG
rnacentral:lncRNA from 1 species